rnacentral:lncRNA from 1 species
AACUCCUUACUCCUUUUUCUUUUUUCUUUUUCUCUCUCUAGACUUCUCUUUCUCUCUCUAAAUUUUCUUGAAAAUAUGGAAGAUGGAAGAAAGAAAUGGAAAUGAAGAAAAAUGGAGAGGAAAACCUCUUUAAAUAGCCAUAGAAGAGGCCUUACAUGCUCGCCAUAUGACAUUCAUUCGUGAGGACACAUGGCAAAGAAAU